AUUUCAGUCGGAGUAACUCUGGGAAAAACGUAAGGGAAGAGGGAGACAGAGAGGUGUAGACACCUUCAAUUAAAAUUGUUUUUAUUUUUAAUUUUUGUACGCACCUCUCUUUCGUUCUCCCUCAAUUCCUUUUGAAUUGUAUAUACAACCUCCGGUGUUUUUUCAUCGGACAUAAUCGAAUCUUUUUUUUUCACCGGACAUUCCCUUUUUGUGUUGAACCAUGAAUCAUGAAGCUAAGAUCAUAAGGUAAUAUGGUGGAGUGGAAAAAGGUGAUGCACCCCGUUCGAAGAGUAUGGAAAGGGGUUACUGUGCGAUUAAAGCUUCGUAAAAAAGGUAAAUCUAAUUCGAAUGUUAUGCUUCAUCGUUUUAUAUUCAUUCAAAUUCGAAAUAUUUUCAUUUGGAGCUGACGAUGUGAAUUGAAACAGGGUUAAAUAAAUUGCAGCAAGAUGUGAAAGCUUCCAAGUACGAUGACGUGCACGUUAUGUGGGAUAUGCUUAGAGGAAAUGAAGAAGGCUCAAAGAAGAGCAAAUCCAACCAUAGCUGGAGUCGUUGUGGCUGAUAGUCUUCUGUUACAAAAAUAUGUGUUACUAUAUAAUUUUAUGUGGUCACAUAUUCAAGCUUUCUAACAUUUGAUAGUUUCACAAUUUAUCGCGUGAGGUUCUCAAGACCGCAUUUAAAAAUGUAUUAAUUGCCCACUUAGAUUGUCAAAUAUCGGUUGUUAGCCACCGUGUUGUGGUUGUCUAGCCACUUUCUCAAACAUGGAAUACAUGGGUUUAUAUCGUGUAUAUAUGUCGUUUUUUCAUCGGCCCACACAAAUAAAUACGAUGAGGAUUUCGGUAUAUCUGGUAUAUUGAGUGCUCCCACUUUUA
rnacentral:lncRNA from 1 species